AUGUGGCCACUGGAGGACGACGAUCUGCUCCCCGAGAUCCUCGUCCGCCUGCCCCCGCAGCCCUCCUCUCUGCCCCGCGCCUCCGCCGUAUGCAAGCGCUGGCGCCUCCUCGUCUCCGACCCAGGAUUCUCCCGCCGCUUCCGGAUCCACCACCGCCGCAGCCCUCCCCUCCUCGGUUUCUUCCGCAGGAAUGACGGCCUGCCCUUCGUACCCACUCUCGACGCCCCGGAUCGUGUCUCCCCCGGUCGUUUCUCCUUGCAGCGCGGCGACGGCGACCGGUUCAUGCCCCUCGGAUGCCGCCAUGGCCUGGUACUCAUCUCCAACAAACCUAAGAACCAGAUCCUGGUGUGUGACCCCGUCACCGGCGACCAGCACCGCCUUGUCGUGCCCCCGGGGGUUGCAGUACAUGCAGAGAAGACAUCGAUCAACGGGGCGGUGCUUCGUGCUCGUGCUGCCGGAGACGAGGCCCAGCACUUCCAAGUGGUGUUGACAGUGGCAGACAACGACCACGAGCAACACCAUCGAGCUCUUGCCUGCGUUUACUCGUCAGAGACCGGCGCAUGGGGUGAUCUUGUCUCAACGCAGCUUCCACCUGAUGUUCUAAUGAGUGAUGCUCCCACCUUGGUUUCUACUGACAAGCCUGCUGUGCUGGUUGGGGAUUCCCUUUACUGGAAGCUUGCUGGGAAUAUGGAUGGAAUUCUCGAGUUCGAUUUGGAGAAGCAAAGCCUAGCUGUGAUACGGGUGCCGGUGCAUAUCCUUGAAGAGGGCCAGUACAUGUUCUUGAUUAUGCGGGCAGAGGGUGGAGGCCUUGGUUUACUCAUCCAGACAGACUGCAGCAUCCAACUGUGGAAGAUGAAGACUGAUUGUGAUGGUGUUGCUUCAUGGGGGCUUGGAAGAACCAUUGAACUGGACAAGCUACUUUCUCUGAAAUCUCAGGAGACUAACAUGUUGAUACCAGGGCUCGAGGAGGAAAAUAAUGUGGUAUUCGUGUGGGCAGAUCACAUCGUCUUUACGGUCCAUCUUGAGUCAAUGAAGUUCAAGAAGCUUUCUGGAACCUACCCCCUUUCUCAUUAUCAUCCAUUCAGAAGUGUCUACGCUGCAGGUUGUAGGUUGCUUACAGGAGGUGGUCUCUUGCAGCUCUGUACACGUAUGGAUUGCAAUACAAAUCUCCGAAAGUGA
rnacentral:rRNA from 1 species